GACGUCGCGACAAGUUCACUGAACCUUAUCAUUUAGAGGAAGGAGAAGUCGUAACAAGGUUUCCGUAGGUGAACCUGCGGAAGGAUCAUUG
rnacentral:rRNA from 1 species